AUGCUCGCAAUGUAUAGUGGUCAAAUAGGAUUAUUUUCUUCGCGAGACCUUUUACUUUUUUUUAUCAUGUGGGAGUUAGAAUUAAUUCCUGUUUACUUACUUUUAUCCAUGUGGGGGGGGAAGAGGCGUCUAUAUUCAGCUACAAAGUUUAUUUUGUAUACUGCAGGCGGUUCCAUUUUUUUCUUAAUCGGAGUUCUGGGUAUGGGCUUAUAUGGUUCCAACGAACCAGGAUUAGAUUUGGAAAGAUUAAUUAAUCAACCAUACCCUGCAACCUUGGAAAUACUUUUAUAUUUUGGCUUCCUUAUUGCUUAUGCUGUCAAAUUGCCGAUUAUACCCCUACAUACGUGGUUACCAGAUACCCAUGGGGAAGCACAUUAUAGUACAUGUAUGCUUUUAGCGGGAAUAUUAUUAAAGAUGGGAGCAUAUGGAUUGAUUCGGAUCAACAUGGAAUUGUUACCUCAUGCUCAUUAUCUAUUUUCGCCCUGGUUAGUAAUAAUAGGAGCGAUCCAAAUAAUCUAUGCAGCUUCAACUUCUCUUGGUCAACGAAAUUUCAAAAAAAGAAUAGCUUAUUCCUCUGUAUCUCACAUGGGUUUCAUAAUUAUAGGAAUUGGUUCCAUAACCAACAUUGGACUCAAUGGAGCUAUUUUACAAAUAUUAUCCCAUGGAUUUAUUGGUGCUACACUUUUUUUCUUGGCAGGAACCGCUUCAGAUAGAAUGCGUCUUGUUUAUCUCGAAGAACUGGGGGGAAUAUCUAUCCCAAUGCCUAAAAUUUUUACCAUGUUUAGUAGCUUUUCAAUGGCUUCUCUUGCCUUACCAGGAAUGAGUGGUUUUGUCGCAGAAUUAGUAGUAUUUUUUGGACUAAUUACUAGUCCAAAAUUUCUGUUAAUGCCAAAAACACUAAUUACUUUUGUAAUGGCAAUUGGAAUGAUAUUAACUCCUAUUUAUUUAUUAUCUAUGUUACGCCAGAUGUUCUAUGGAUACAAGCUAUUUAAUGUUCCAAACGCAAAUUUUGUGGAUUCUGGACCACGAGAACUCUUUAUUUUAAUCUGUAUCUUUUUACCAGUAAUAGGAUUUGGUAUUUAUCCAGAUUUUGUUCUCUCCCUAUCCGUUGACAGGGUAGAGGCUCUCUUAUCCAAUUAUUAUCCUAAAUAG
rnacentral:rRNA from 1 species